rnacentral:lncRNA from 1 species
CCUGCACCCUGAAUAUGUUCAUGAGUAUGGAACCAUGUCAAACUCAAACACAUAUUCAUAUCAAUUCUCAAUUAAGUAAUGAUGACUCCAAUUAAAAAGUACUAGAAAUUUUCUAAUCUCCUUCCUGCUUUUGGCCAAAAGACUUUUUUCGAGUCAUCUAGGAUUGAGAAUACAUAGGAUGCGAUCUCCUCUUACUAGGAGUAAUCGAUUCCAUGUUGA